GAUGAAGAACGCAGCGAAACGUGAUAAGUAAUGUGAAUUGCAGAAUCCAGUGAAUCAUCGAAUCUUUGAACGCACAUUGCGCCCGCCAGCAUUCUGGCGGGCAUGCCUGUUCGAGCGUCAUUUCAACCCUCGACCUCCCCUUGGGGAGGUCGGCGUUGGGGACCGGCAGCACACCGCCGGCCCUGAAAUGGAGUGGCGGCCCGUCCGCGGCGACCUCUGCGCAGUAAUACAGCUCGCACCGGGACCCCGACGCGGCCACGCCGUAAAACACCCAACUUCUGAACGUUGACCUCGAAUCAGGUAGGACUACCCGCUGAACUUAAGCAUAUCAAUAAGCGGAGGA
rnacentral:misc_RNA from 1 species